UGUACACCUCUUGCCAUAUUCAGAGUACUUCCCUAUAAGCCACAACAUUUUCCUCUCCUCCUCUGGAUGUUAAGAACAAUAUCCCAGGACCGGCCUACAACCCCAGUCACAUCUUACCCUAUCAGAGCAUGCUGUACACCUCUUGCCAUAUUCAGAGUUCUUCCCUACAAGCUGCAACAUUUUCCUCUCCUCCUCUGGAUGUUAGGAACAAUAACCCAGGACCGGCCUACAACCUUAGUCACAUCUGACCCUAUCAGAGCAUGCUGAACACGUCCUGCCAUAUUCAGAGUACUUCCCUAUAAGCCGCAACAUUUUCCUCUCCUCCUCUGGAUGUUAGAAACAAUAACCCAGAACCGGCCUACAACCCCAGUCACAUC